GACGAACGCUGGCGGCGCGCCUAACACAUGCAAGUCGAACGAGCGAGAGAGAGCUUGCUUUCUCGAGCGAGUGGCGAACGGGUGAGUAACGCGUGAGGAACCUGCCUCAAAGAGGGGGACAACAGUUGGAAACGACUGCUAAUACCGCAUAAGCCCACGGCUCGGCAUCGAGCAGGGGAAAAAGGAGCAAUCCGCUUUGAGAUGGCCUCGCGUCCGAUUAGCUAGUUGGUGGGGUAACGGCCCACCAAGGCGACGAUCGGUAGCCGGACGGAGAGGUUGAACGGCCACAUUGGGACUGAGACACGGCCCAGACUCCUACGGGAGGCAGCAGUGGGGAAUAUUGCACAAUGGGGGAAACCCUGAUGCAGCGACGCCGCGUGGAGGAAGAAGGUCUUCGGAUUGUAAACUCCUGUUGUUGGGGAAGAUAAUGACGGUACCCAACAAGGAAGUGACGGCUAACUACGUG
rnacentral:rRNA from 1 species